rfam:Ovis aries breed Texel chromosome 4, whole genome shotgun sequence.
UCCCAGGUAGUUCAGUGGGUAAAGAAUCUGCCUGCAAUGCAGGAGACCUGGGUUCGAUCCCUGGGUUGGGAA